AGUUUGAACAGUUGUCUGUUGUGGAGGAAAAAUUAAAGAAGUUGCUUGAACAAGUGGAGGCCCUUGGUGAAGCUGGGAAGAGGGAUGAAGCUGAAGUGCCCAUGAGAAAGAUGCCUAAUAAUAAUGGUGUGGUGAAUCCUGAAGCUGGUCAGGGCCGUCAGGUCCAGGGUAGUUCUAGUUCCCCUACUCUCUUCGGUAAUACCCAAUCAAACUGGUAUAGUGUUUUACUCCAGCAAAUCUCAGUCUAUGGGGUAGCCGCUGGCUACUGCUUAUCUGCAUCGUUGCUUUCCAUCAUCAACAAAUGGGCUGUCGUGAAAUUUCCUUAUCCUGGGGCACUAACUGCUUUACAGUAUUUUACAAGUGUUAUUGGGGUCCUCGUUUGUGGCUGGCUUAAGUUGAUAGAGUAUGAUUCGCUUUACCUACUUACCAUGUGGCGCUUCCUACCAGCGGCAAUUAUAUUCUACCUCUCUCUCUUCACUAACAGUGAGCUCCUUCUCCAUGCUAAUGUUGACACUUUCAUUGUCUUUCAUUCUGUUGUUCCAAUUUUUGUUGCCAUAGGAGAGAUUCUCUUCUUUCACCAACCAUGGCCAUCAAUGAGGACAUGGACCUCACUUGCCACUAUUUUUGGGGGAAGUGUGAUUUUUGUACUAACGGAUUACCAGAGUAACGGCUUAUAGUUGGGCUCUAGCUUACUUGGUAAGCAUGCCCAUAGACUUUGUCUACAUAAAGCAUGUGGUAAUGACCAUUGGUUUAAAUACAUGGGGUCUUGUACUGUAUAACAAUCUUGAGGCUCUUCUACUGUUUCCGUUGGAACUACUUGUAAUGGAUGAAUUGAAGAAGAUUCAGCAUGAAAUCUCAGAUGAAUCGGAUUGGUAUUCUCUUGGGGUGCUUUUGCCAGUGGGGUUAUCAUGUUUAUUUGGUUUAUCCAUCUCUUUCUUUGGGUUUUCUUGCCGAAGGGCUAUUUCUGCAACUGGAUUUACUGUUCUUGGUAUAGUGAACAAAUUAUUAACUGUUGUGAUUAAUCUGGUUAUUUGGGACAAACAUUCAACCUUUGUUGGUACAGUGGGCCUGUUGAUAUGCUUGGCAGGUGGUGUUAUGUAUCAGCAAUCUACAAGCAAGAAGCCUAAGGAUGUGAAUCAAGUAAAAGCACAAGAGACUGAGGAAGAACAACAAAAGUUAAUUGAAAUGAAAAGCAGCUUAGAAAACAAUAACAAUGAGAAAUGGACUGUUGAAUCUGAAGGGGGAAAAUGACAGACGGCUUUUUUCAAGCCUCAUCUGCAGCAUUAUUCGACCGGAGAACACCCUGUCAGAUGAAAUGUUGCAUUCUUUUGUUCUGUAAAUUUAUACUCAUAAAAAAGUCCCAGUAGCAAUAGCAAUGCCUUAUUUGUUGUAAGGAUGCGGGAUGUCUAAAGACAUGCCUGCAAAUAUCAGAAUGUUCCUUGUUUACCCUCAAAGCUUAUUUUUUUCAGUGUGCGUGUAAAAAUCAUGGGAGAUAGUGUUGUAAGCAGUUCGCAAUUCUGUGUAACAUUUUUGAAUGAGUAUUAAAGGGUUUGGUUUACUGGUUUGUAAUUUAACAAAAAGAACAUAUAUUGGUUUGAGGAUUAUAUUUUAGAAUAGGUGAUGCAUGUUUUGCUAUA